UAACACCCAUAACCCCCCUUCCCGGUUUAACUUUUCCCACUUCCCGGAGUCUAUGAUCGUCAAAUUCUCAGGCCACAACACAAGGACGAAACGGGAACUUGGGGACCCCAUCCAUCCAGACCAUCUCUUAUUUCUUUCGCUUCUUCUUGUUGGCAUCGUCGACGUGGUACUGUACUGGUUAGUUAGUUGAGAGAAAAAGAAAUGGCGGGAGUUGCUCCAGAAUCAGAUGAUGGAAGUAGGAGACGUUUACCACAGUGGAUGCUGGGCUUAUCUUCUGCUGGCCAGGUAAGGAAGCCUAGUAAUGGUAAAGAGGAAGGACCCGCCUCUUAUGAAACUGAAACAUUGGGAGAAAACUCACAUGUUCUUGUAAAAUGUGAGACAAAGAGAAGAAAAAGAAAAUCAACUGAACAAGAUGCAGACAAUGAAGCUAAAUUUCCAGAAAACAAGUGUAGUGGACUUGGGAGAAGAGAAGUUCAGGAGUCUGGUGCUCCAGAGAGACAAAAGGCAAAGGAAACACUGGGGGAGAACUCACAUGUUCUUGUAAAAUGUGAGACGAAAAGAAGAAAAAGAAACUCAAAUGAACAGAACGCAGAAUGUGAUGGAACUUUUCCUGAGAAGAAUUGUAAUGGACAUGGGAGAAGAAAAGUUCAGGAAUCUGAUGCUCCGAAGAAGGAAAAAGCAAAGGGUUCCAGCUGUGGAAAUGAUGAAGAACUAGAAGUCCGGACUUCGACUGAUGAUGAUGUUGAACUGACAGUGGAGGAUUUAGUGAUCAUUGCUGAAGAGUAUAUUAGAGCUGAUGGGAAUAUAAAUCAAGAAGAAGAAGCAUCGAACCAAGAAUGUGAAUCAGACAGCAGAUUUCCAGAAAUAGUCUCAUCCGGUAAUGAGUUAGAAGAUUCUGCUGAUGCCCAAAUUUGUAAUCGAAGAUCACUCAUCGCAGAUACAACUACUUUCAAGCCGAACAGGAGUUUGGCAAGUAAAGGAAUUGGCUUAAAUUCAGGUGGAACAGGGGAUCCUGCUCAGGACAUGCUGGAUCUGUUUUUAGGCCCCUUGAUGAAGAAAACCGUCGAGAAGGAGAGUGAGAGUCGAUUUUUGACAGAGGAUGUGACAUUUGCCCAUGAAAUCAUUAGAGAAAGUCAUAGUAAUGUUGUUAGAGAAGGAAUUGCCCCCAUAAUGAAGAAGAAGAGCAGUCUCAAAGACAAGGUGGCAAUGUUUCUUGACUGAAUCAGGUAUCUUAAACUGUUAAUAGUACAACGAAGUGAGAAGAAGUUUUAGAUGAUGCAUAAAACUGAAGAGUGAACAGAUGCAUCGAUCAGUCUUCUUCGCUUCAUCUUGACACAGAUGCUGCUCAGCUAGGCUCUUAUGUAUUCUAUGCAAUGGUAAAUAUUAAUCAGCAGCAGGUAUAGAGUUUCCUUGGUCUGAUCUGAUGAUGCUUAGGGUUUGAGCUUGGAGGUUGUAGAAAUGUAGAAAUUCAAUGUGACGGCAACCGCCAACAUGGGAGAUGGCUUCUUUUCAAAAGGUUUAUUAUCUGCAACCGCCGACAUAUGAAGAUAGAUUUGGAGGAAUGCAAGGUAAAGGAAGCUUAUUGAAGAAGAAAUCUUGAGAGGCCAACUUUGUGGCCAAGUUUCUGAACAUCCUGUUGAAUUUGGUUCCUGUAUUCUCGAAAUGUGAACUUUCUAUAGACGGAAGAAGAUUCCGGAGAUGUGCUGCCGCUGCUGCAACUCCCAAUUAAAGAAUCAUAGGAAGGGCACAUGAAGUAGGCUAUUGAGUAGCGUUCCAUCUUCUCGUUUGCCAUCACCUUGUGCUCCACACUUUUGUACACAUCAUUGCUCCACGCCUUUAUUAACAAACAAUCCCAAUUAUUAACUAA